rnacentral:rRNA from 1 species
AACGGGUGCGUAACACGUGAACAAUCUACCUUUAAGUGGGGAAUAACUAGCCGAAAGGCUGAUUAAUACCGCAUGUGGUCGAAAUUCUCCUGAAUUUCGCACUAAAGUCAGGGACCGCAAGGCCUGACGCUUAUAGAGGAGUUCGCGGCCUAUCAGCUAGUUGGCGAGGUAACGGCUCACCAAGGCUAAGACGGGUAGCUGGUCUGAGAGGAUGAUCAGCCACACUGGAACUGAGACACGGUCCAGACACC